rnacentral:tRNA from 1 species
AGCCAACUGGUGGAAUAGGUAGACACGCGACGCUCAGAACGUCGUGCCCAACAAAGGGCGUGGGAGUUCGACUCUCCCGUUGGCUA